AAGGGGGAAUUGCCUUAGUACGGCGAGUGAAGCGGCAACAGCUCAAAUUUGAAAGCUGGCCCUUUUAGGGUCCGCGUUGUAAUUUGUAGAGGAUGAUUCGGCGAGGGCUCCUGCCUAAGUCCCCUGGAACGGGGCGUCAUAGAGGGUGAGAAUCCCGUAUGCGGUAGGUUGCCUUAGCCAUGUGAAUCUCCUUCGACGAGUCGAGUUGUUUGGGAAUGCAGCUCUAAAUGGGAGGUAAAUUUCUUCUAAAGCUAAAUACUGGCCAGAGACCGAUAGCGCACAAGUAGAGUGAUCGAAAGAUGAAAAGCACUUUGGAAAGAGAGUUAAAAAGUACGUGAAAUUGUUGAAAGGGAAGCGCUUGCAACCAGACUUGUCCGCAGUUGCUCAGCCGGUCUCCUGACCGGCGUACUCUUCUGCGGCCAGGCCAGCAUCAGUUCGGGCGGUCGGAUAAAGGCCUCGGGAAUGUAGCUCCUCUCGGGGAGUGUUAUAGCCCGGGGUGGAAUGCGACCAGCCUGGACUGAGGAUCUCGCUUCGGCAAGGAUGCUGGCGUAAUGGUUGUAAGCGGCCGCUGAAAAACCCCGGCACACA
rnacentral:rRNA from 1 species